AGAGAUGUGUGAUGACGCAUAUCAAUAAGCGGAGGAAAAGAAACUAACAAGGAUUCCCUUAGUAACGGCGAGUGAAGCGGGAAGAGCUCAAAUUUGAAAUCUUCAAGGUUCUACCUUGACGAAUUGUAGUUUAUAGAAGUGUUUUCUGUUAGUGGAGUGGCAAAAGUUCUUUGGAAUAGGACAUCAUAGAGGGUGAGAAUCCCGUAUUUGGUCAUUCCUCCUAGCGUUGUGAUACACUUUCAACGAGUCGGAUUGUUUGGGAAUGCAGUCCAAAAUGGGUGGUAAAUUUCAUCUAAGGCUAAAUAUUGGCGAGAGACCGAUAGCGAACAAGUACCGUGAGGGAAAGAUGAAAAGAACUUUGAAAAGAGAGUUAAACAGUACGUGAAAUUGUCAAAAGGGAAGCGUUUGACACCAGUGUUGUUUUUCCGAAAAUCAAUUACGAAUGUUUUAGUUUUUGAGGAAGUUAUGACUUCAUCGGCUUGCUCCUUUCUUUAUGAAACUUUCUUAAUGCACUUUUCGGUUAACAAGUCAACAUCAAUUUCUUUUGUUGUAAAAGGGUAUGAGGAAGGUGGCUUUCUUUUCGGAGAAAGUGUUUAUAGCCUUGUGCCUCUGCAAUCGGAGAGAUUGAGGUCUGCAGCGUAGAUCCUUCGGGGUUAGAUACGUUUGUGCUAAGUUAUAGCUUUUCAUAGACAACUUGUUGACUAUGUUUAGUCUUGUAGCUUACUCGCUGACGCUAUUUUACCUACGCUUAGGAUGUUGAGUAGCGACAUACGCAC
rnacentral:rRNA from 1 species